AGGGGCCUACGGGAGGCAGCAGUGGGGAAUAUUGGGCAAUGGGCGCAAGCCUGACCCAGCAACGCCGCGUGAAGGAAGAAGGCUUUCGGGUUGUAAACUUCUUUUCUCAGGGACGAAGCAAGUGACGGUACCUGAGGAAUAAGCCACGGCUAACUACGUGCCAGCAGCCGCGGUAAUACGUAGGUGGCAAGCGUUAUCCGAAUUUACUGGGUGUAAAGGGCGUGUAGGCGGGACUGCAAGUCAAAUGUGAAAACCACGGGCUCAACCUGUGGCCUGCAUUUGAAACUGUAGUUCUUGAGUACUGG
rnacentral:rRNA from 1 species